UUUUUUUUUUUUUUUUUUUUUUUUAAACUCUAGCGGUAACCAUCAUGGCUCAGUGGACUAGUAUCCAUGAGGUCGCAGGGAUCGAACCCAUGUCCUCAUGAAUGCUAGUCGGAUUCAUUUCCACUGAGCCACAAUGGGAACUCCUUAUUGUUCACUUUUAAACAUUUUCUUCUUUCCAUUGUGAUUUCUACUUUGACCCUUUGCAUCGUUUAGGAGUCUGUCUUAAUAUUCAAAUGCAGUGUUUAAUUUAUUACUUAUUAUUGAUUUUUAGCAUAAUUGCAUUUUGACUAGAGAAUAUACUCUUAUUUCAGUCCUUUUGAUAUUUGUUGAGACAUAUUUUAUGGCCAAGUAUGUGGUCCAUUUUUACAAAUAUUGUGUCUGUGCUUCUGAAAAGGUGGGUUUUCUCCAUUUGCUGAAAUGAUGUUCUGUGUAUACUCAGCAGAUUAAGCUCGAUAAUUGUAUUCAAAUUAUGUAUAAUCUUGCUAGGUUAUUUUUAUCUCCUUGUUCUGUCAGUUACUAAGAGAGGCGGUUUAAAAUAUUCCAUACUAAUAGGUGAAUUUUUCUGUUUCCUACUGUUGCUCGGUUAGUUUUGCUUUAUAUAGUUUUAGGUGAUGUAUUAGGUGCAUAAAAGUUCAAAACGGAUUUACCUUCCUGGUGAACUGAAGCUUUUAUCAUAUGGUCAGAAGGAGAAGGAGCUUCCAUGUACUCUGCUUCUCCUUUCUCUUUUCUGCCCCAGUAACAUCCUCCCUUUGCACACCUGGCUGGAGAAAUGAUAGUAGGUUGAUUGGACAUUCACCCUCAUCUGUUGUGAGUAGCAGCCCCGUUAUUGGCCAUUCCCCACAUGUGGCCUCUAACCCUAAGAAUGUCUGAAAAGAAUGAAGGAAGUAAUUCUGAAAGUUGGGGUGAGGAGUAUUUGGAAAACAAUAAUCCAGUCUUCCUAACUAACAGUAUUAAGGUGGCUGCUUAGACUGUAGAUUUACCUUUCCUAUAUAAUUUUUACUCCCUUCUGCAGCCAUCACUACCUAGUUCUCAUCCUUGGUGACAGUUUUCGUAUUUGCCUGUUUCUAUGCUACCCCCUUUGUUUAUCUGUCUGGGAGGUUACUGUGGAUCAAUCAUAUAGUUUCAAAGCUGGGAGGGACCUUAAAAGAUUUUUUUGUCUCUUCCUUACCCCCAGUACGCUUUAUAGAUAAGGAUACAGUUCCUUAUAGGUAAAUUAACUUUCCCAGAGUUACACCUUUUAGCAGAGUGGAGAUUAGAAACAAAGCCCUCUUUCUGUCCCCCUUGUCUUUUAUUUCCUGGGUUUUUUUUUCCCACUUGAAGUUCUCAUUAAAGUCCCGGACCUAGCAACC
rnacentral:lncRNA from 1 species